AUGGCCAAAUCCUUUACAAUUCUUACAGUGCAGUGGUUUGAGUACGAAAGCUCUUACAGCGCAUAUUGUGGCAACCCGGGGGCCAGCAGGGAGCUGCAAAGAAAGGCCUUGGUCAGCUCCAGAGGGCUAGAGAGCCAAGGAAGCGGACCCAUUCCCGGGCAGCACACCACCCGGCGCAAGUUGAGAACAAGUAUCGAAAGACCGGAAUCAUCGCUCUCUCUCUUUUGUUGUUCAUUACCCUAGGCGGUCCGAGGAGCUGCCACACCGGACACCAAGUGACCCAUCCGUUACCCGAGAGGCCUUUCAGUUGUAUUCCUCCCAACCUUGAAGAACAACUUUUGUUUGAGCACCUCAAAACGGUCUCCCGCCAUCUUAUUUUGUGAGUUUCACCUCUGACUCCCCUGGGCUGCCACAAUAUGAACUGUAACUCAGUAAAAUCUUUGGAAUUGUUACAUGUUGCAUUUAUAUUUUUGUUCAGUAUAGUUAGGCAUGUUCCAUUUUAUGAGUUUGUCUGUUUGAGUAAAAUGAAUAACAAUUGAUAGUAAGAACAGAAACAUAGCAGAAACAGUCAGUCAAAUCCAUUAUUAAAUGCAUUUUAUUGAAUCAUUUUUUGUUCUCAAACCAACAAAACCCAAACUAUUUACACUUUUUAGGUUAUUUUUCUGAAUGCAUUUGUUUUUAUGUUACUUAUCUCUAAAAUAUUCUAAACGUUUAAGCGAUGGAACUGAGCCGACCAUUUGGGUGAAAAAGAAAAUGGAUAUCAUUUGAUCAAAAUUGGUUUGUUAAUGAAUCAUACAUCUUUAUGGAAUUCAUACAUCAAAGGCAUGGCAAUCUCACCCAGGGGCAUCACAGUGCCAAAACAUCAAUCACUUUGAACUUCAAUGAUUAACAGAAAGACAGAACAGACCCACUGUUCACCUACAGGUGACCAACAAUUACUCCAACAAAGACAAUGCUAACUUUUAAAAAAUGAAACACCCAAAUAUAACUCAGAGAAUAAUAAUUUAGAGAUAGCUACAUAUUAACAGUUCACUGCAAACCAGUUAAUAGAGGGCAUUCUUAUCCCACACGGAUGGAGUUGAAAGAUUGAAGUCAAAAUCCACAGUAUUCAUAAAAUGCUUCAGUGACAUUUUAGAUAUUCCUCCAGUUGCAUUAACUAAUAUAUCAACUGAUCCAAACUAUAUAUAUAUAAAACACUUUCCACUCAAAGUAGAGGGUCUCAUCUCCCAAAGUUAAUAUUCAUUUGUUUGACCAACCGAAGCAGUAGGAAAACACUUACAAAACAAUGAAUCCAUUCAACCUGACUGACAGGGGAAGAAUUGAGCUUCUCCAUUGAAAUCCUGGUUUCUAUUAAAGAGACAGACAAACCCAUGAUCAACUGCAUAGAUGGCAUACAUACAAGUAACAUACACAGCCAUUCAAUAACGUUAGUAAGAUGCUUCUAAUAUACGAGGACAUAAUCUGUACAAUGGUCAGUAAUCAAAGUGUCAAAUAGACAAUCUACUCAGAGGACCACCAAGAAGAGAUAGUGCCCUUUAAUUAUUGGAACA
rnacentral:lncRNA from 13 species